rnacentral:rRNA from 1 species
GGAGUUAUUAAAAAUUUUAAUUAAAAACACGCGAAAAUAGUUGAGCUAAAUAUUUAUAAUUGUUAGAUUAUUAUAUGUAGCAUAAUAUAAAUAAAUAAUUAUUUAGGGGUGAUAGGCCUAUCAAGACUAUAGAUAUCUCGAUUCUUUAGAAAAACAUUUAGUGUAGUAACAGCUAAGGAGUGAUAAGGCUUCUUAGUGACAUAAAUAUUUAUUUAUUUAUUAUGUAAUCCUGAUUUGAUCGUUAGAUUUUAAAUAAACAAAUAUUUAUUUAUAAUAUAUUAUGGUCUUUAUAAAGAAAUAACAAACUACUUUAAGAGUUUAAAAUGUAACUAUAAGUAACUAAAAUAAAUGUAAAAAAUGAACUCGGCAAUUUAGUCUUUCAACUGUUUAUCAAAAACAUAGCUAUGUGAGAUUAUUCAUAGUGAUUUCUGCUCAAUGAUAAUUUAAAUAGCCGCAGUACCCUGACUGUGCUAAGGUAGCGUAAUAAUUUGGCUUAUAAUUGAAGCCCAGUAUGAACGAAAUAUUGGGGGACGUCUUUAUUUUCAAUAAAAAUUGAAAUUACUAAUUAAGUGCAAAUUCUUAUAUUAAAAUGAUAGACGAGAAGACCCUUGAAAUUUUAAUAAAACCGAAUAAGUUUUUUUUGUUGGGGCAACAAGGUAACAUAAAAUUUACCAUAAAGAACAAGAACAUUUUGUGUGGGAGAAUAAAUUACUCUAGGGAUAACAGCGUAAUUUUAAAAAGUUUGCGACCUCGAUGUUGGACUAGGGAACGAUUACUUAGAAAGUAUGAUGUUAAGCUCUGUUCGAGCUA